rnacentral:rRNA from 1 species
GAUGAACGCUGGCGGCGUGCCUAAUACAUGCAAGUCGAACGCAUUGUGGUUGAAAUGAUAUGAAGAACUUGUUCAGAUUUGAUUUUCAACAUUGCAAUGAGUGGCGAACGGGUGAGUAACACGUGGGAAACCUACCUCUUAGCAGGGGAUAACAUUUGGAAACAAAUGCUAAUACCGUAUAAUAAUUAAAACCGCAUGGUUUUAGUUUAAAAGAUGGUCUUGCUAUCACUAAGAGAUGGUCCCGCGGUGUAUUAGUUUGUUGGUGAGGUAAUGGCUCACCAAGACAAUGAUACAUAGCCGAGUUGAGAGACUGACCGGCCACAAUGGGACUGAGACACGGCCCAUA